UACGAAGGGGGGCUAGCGUUGCUCGGAAUCACUGGGCGUAAAGCGCACGUAGGCGGACUCUUAAGUCGGUGGUGAAAUCCUGGAGCUCAACUCCAGAACUGCCUUCGAUACUGAGAGUCUCGAGUCCGGGAGAGGGAAGUGGAAUUCCCGGUGUAGUGGUGAAAUGCGUAGAUAUUGGGUGGAACACCGGUGGCGAAAGCGGCCCCCUGGCCCGGUCCUGACGCUGAGGCGCGAAAGCGUGGGGGAGCAAACAGG
rnacentral:rRNA from 1 species